GGCCCUACGGGACGCAGCAGUGGGGAAUAUUGCACAAUGGGGGAAACCCUGAUGCAGCGACGCCGCGUGAGUGAAGAAGUAUUUCGGUAUGUAAAGCUCUAUCAGCAGGGAAGAAACACACCCUUUGGGGUGGCUGACGGUACCUGACUAAGAAGACACGGCUAACUACGUGCCAGCAGCCGCGGUAAUACGUAGGGGGCAAGCGUUAUCCGGAUUUACUGGGUGUAAAGGGAGCGUAGGUGGCAAGGCGAGUCAGA
rnacentral:rRNA from 1 species